GCCCCUGCACUGAAUACAUUUUCUAAAAAUGCGAAAUCUGAAUUCGCUGGCUUUGCUGGUCUCGCAGUUCGGCGGUCUAACAAAGCACUGCCGAUUUGCUCGAUGGUCCGAUUUGCUCCAGGUCGCUCCACAUCAGUAUCUCUGAAGCUGAAGCUGAUGGUGAUGGUGAAGCUCAUGCUGUGUGCAGGUCCAGUCCAAAAAAUGGGGAAAAAAGCCAAAAAUGGGGGGGCUACGAACCCGCACUUUGUGGUCAAUUGGUCAUCCAACGCCUGCAGUUGCGACUUUGCUGACCAGCGAGCAGACCGAAAAAAAGGUGGGUAAUUCUCGGUUUUCGAAAAUGCCUUGGUCAAUCGAUAACUAUCAAAGAUACAGUUCAAGGAUAUAUUUAAUAAAGUUUCAUUUAAUUGAAAUUCGAAAAAUAAUACAUUGUUGCUUGUAAUUUUACAGCCUACAAUAUUGAAGACCUGUCAUUUUACGUUCAAUUUUAAAUAAUUUUGCAAUACCAUAUGCAUUGGCACACACAUUGUUUUAUUUGUUGCUUAAGACAUCGUUUACAGCUUUCGGAAAAUCCCAGAGUUCAAUAAAUAUUUACGGCAUUCAAAUGACAAAGGAAA